rnacentral:rRNA from 1 species
GACGAACGCUGGCGGCGUGCUUAACACAUGCAAGUCGAGCGGUAAGGCCCUUUCGGGGGGUACACGAGCGGCGAACGGGUGAGUAACACGUGGGUGACCUGCCCUCAGCUCUGGGAUAAGCCUGGGAAACCGGGUCUAAUACUGGAUAUGACUCCAUGACGCAUGUUGUGGGGUGGAAAGCCUUGUGCGGCUGAGGAUGGGCCCGCGGCCUAUCAGCUUGUUGGUGGGGUGANGGCCUACCAAGGCGACGACGGGUAGCCGGCCUGAGAGGGCGACCGGCCACACUGGGACUGAGACACGGCCCAGACUCCUACGGGAGGCAGCAGUGGGGAAUCUUGCGCAAGUGGGCGAAAGCCUGACGCAGCGACGCCGCGUGAGGGAUGACGGCCU